rnacentral:rRNA from 1 species
AACGAACGCUGGCGGCAUGCCUAACACAUGCAAGUCGAACGAGACCUUCGGGUCUAGUGGCGCACGGGUGCGUAACGCGUGGGAACCUGCCCUUAGGUUCGGAAUAACUCUCCGAAAGGGGUGCUAAUACCGGAUAAUGUCUUCGGACCAAAGAUUUAUCGCCUUUGGAUGGGCCCGCGUUGGAUUAGCUAGUUGGUAGGGUAAAAGCCUACCAAGGCGACGAUCCAUAGCUGGUCUGAGAGAAUGAUCAGCCACACUGGGACUGAGACACGGCCGAGACUCCUACGGGAGGCAGCAGUGGGGAAUAUUGGACAAUGGGCGAAAGCCUGAUCCAGCAAUGCCGCGUGAGUGAUGAAGGCCUUAGAGUUGUAAAGCUCUUUUACCCGGGAUGAUAAUGACAGUACCGGGAGAAUAAGCUCCGGCUAACUCCGUG